GUGAACGUCCUCGUUUAUUCAUCUACGUUUCAGUAUCAGCGAACAGUUCUCACCCGAGCGUGCUGGAGAAGUACAGUUUUGAUAGAUGAAGACAAAUGCGUAGAAAUAGUCGUAAAUUCAGCAUCACUUUACGAUACGCUGACUAAAGAGAGGAUAUUGACCCGAAUAAACAGAUGUGGCACACGAUUUCCUUCAUACGGUCAGAUGACGAUGGACAACUGGCGGAUUGGAGAAAGAUUAAAAGCGUACUAGCGUUUGAUUAAAGAGUGACAGAUGUUCCAGGCAAUAUAAUUACACUAAUUUGUAAACAACUGGCUCAACCAUUCUCGGCUGUCGCUCUCGUCUUUCGUUUUCCGAAAAUGUAUUUACAAGAUUGCCAUUCGUGCACACAUGCAUCACCCACUUGGAUAUAACGGA